AGCAGCCGCGGUAAUUCCAGCUCCAAUAGCGUAUAUUAAAGUUGUUGCAGUUAAAAAGCUCGUAGUUGAAUUUCGGGGUCAGUAGAUUGGUCGUGCCACUGGUAUGUACUGGUCUUACUGGCUCCUCCUUCCUGAUGAACCGUAAUGCCAUUAAUUUGGUGUUGCGGGGAAACUGGACUGUUACUUUGAAAAAAUUAGAGUGUUUAAAGCAGGCUCGCGCUUGAAUACAUUAGCAUGGAAUAAUGAAAUAGGACGUUCGAUCCUAUUUUGUUGGUUUCUAGGAUUGACGUAAUGAUUAAUAGGGAUAGUUGGGGGCAUUAGUAUUCAAUUGUCAGAGGUGAAAUUCUUGGAUUUAU
rnacentral:rRNA from 1 species